rnacentral:rRNA from 1 species
UACGUAGGGGCCUAGCGUUGUCCGGAUUUAUUGGGCGUAAAGAGCUCGUAGGCGGUUCGGUAAGUCGGCUGUGAAAACCCCAGGCUCAACCUGGGGACGCCAUUCGAUACUGCUGUGACUUGAGUUCGGUAGGGGAGCACGGAAUUCCUGGUGUAGCGGUGAAAUGCGCAGAUAUCAGGAGGAACACCGGUGGCGAAGGCGGAUCUCUGGCCCGAUACUGACGCUGAGGUGCGAAAGCGUGGGGAGCAAACAGG